rnacentral:rRNA from 1 species
ACACAUGCAAGUCGAGCGGUAACAUUUCAAAAGCUUGCUUUUGAAGAUGACGAGCGGCGGACGGGUGAGUAAUGCCUGGGAAUAUGCCUUGAUGUGGGGGAUAACUAUUGGAAACGAUAGCUAAUACCGCAUAAUGCCUACGGGCCAAAGAGGGGGAUCUUCGGACCUCUCGCGUCAAGAUUAGCCCAGGUGGGAUUAGCUAGUUGGUGAGGUAAUGGCUCACCAAGGCGACGAUCCCUAGCUGGUCUGAGAGGAUGAUCAGCCACACUGGAACUGAGACACGGUCCAGACUCCUACGGGAGGCAGCAGUGGGGAAUAUUGCACAAUGGGCGCAAGCCUGAUGCAGCCAUGCCGCGUGUGUGAAGAAGGCCUUCGGGUUGUAAAGCACUUUCAGUCGUGAGGAAGGUAGUUGCGUUAAUAGCGUAAUUAUUUGACGUUAGCGACAGAAGAAGCACCGGCUAACUCCGUGCCAGCAGCCGCGGUAAUACGGAGGGUGCGAGCGUUAAUCGGAAUUACUGGGCGUAAAGCGCAUGCAGGUGGUUCAUUAAGUCAGAUGUGAAAGCCCGGGGCUCAACCUCGGAACCGCAUUUGAAACUGGUGAACUAGAGUGCUGUAGAGGGGGGUAGAAUUUCAGGUGUAGCGGUGAAAUGCGUAGAGAUCUGAAAGGAAUACCAGUGGCGAAAGCGGCCCCCUGGACAGACACUGACACUCAGAUGCGAAAGCGUGGGGAGCAAACAGGAUUAGAUACCCUGGUAGUCCACGCCGUAACGAUGUCUACUUGGAGGUUGUGGCCUUGAGCCGUGGCUUUCGGAGCUACGCGUUAAGUAGACGCCU